rnacentral:rRNA from 1 species
UACGAAGGGGGCGAGCGUUGUUCGGAUUUACUGGGCGUAAAGGGCGCGUAGGCGGCCUGCUAAGUCGAACGUGAAAUCCCCGGGCUCAACCCGGGAACUGCGUCCGAUACUGGAAGGCUUGAAUCCGGGAGAGGGAUGUGGAAUUCCAGGUGUAGCGGUGAAAUGCGUAGAUAUCUGGAGGAAUACCGGUGGCGAAGGCGGCAUCCUGGACUAAUACUGACGCUGAGGCGCGAAAGCCAGGGGAGCAAAGCGGG